GUACUCACCUCGGCAGCAUAUACUAAAAUUGGAAUAAUACAGAGGUUAGCAUGGCCCCUGUGCAAGGAUGACAUGCCAAUUUGUGAAGUGUUCCAUAUUUUU
ensembl:snRNA U6 U6 spliceosomal RNA